CCGCCCCCUUCCCUGUGGCUCGGGCUCUGUCCUGCCCGCCCCGUCCUGCCGGCGCCCAAUCACGAGCCGGGAGGCGGGGGCGGGGAGGGGUUUAAAGCCCGGCCUCGCUUCCCUUUUAAGGCAGCUGCGCGAAGGAGUGUGCGUCCCAGCAGCAGGCCGCGCGCCGCACUGGUCUGCCGACGCUAGCGCGCGAGGCAUGCUGGGAGCUGUAGUGUGUGUAGGCGACUCCCUCUGCCCCGAAAACGAGACCCGCACACUCGGUGAAGACUUUCGUGUAUUCAUACAUAUGUAUGCAUAAGAUCUAUGCGAUCUAUGCGAUGGCGCUAAACCUAGAAAAGUAAAGAAACCAAAAGAUUAUGGCCAAACCAGGUCUCUGGAUGUUUUGCAGAGAGAGCAGCUGCGGAGCAGAGAUCUUGGGCUGAAAAUCUGGCUGUGCACACGGGUUGCAACCAGACCGCCUGGACAAAAGAUGAUGAUUGUUGCAGAGGAGAUUCCCCUGUAGAGUUGCCAGAUGUCCCUCAUUUUCAAAGCUAUCCCUCAUUUAAAAGGAUUGACUUUUAUUACAGAGCAUCCUGGCCUCAGUGGGGAGCACGGGAACCCUUGCUUCAUAUUACACAGCUCUGCCAAACAGAAGAACCACCCCUCCCUCUUAGGCUAGAAUAAUAUUUUACUCCCUGUUUGACAUGACAUUCUCCUGACAUAUUUAUGAAAGAAGACUGGAGUGUCAUAGUUUUAAAAUUUAAAAUAUUUAUAUCCUGCCCCUCUGGCACAGUGCUACUUCGGGUGGCUCACAAAAAUAAUAAAUCACAAUAAUAGGCACAAAAAUAAGAGGAUAAAGGACUAAAAGGAGAACAAAACUGGGCUUAAAAACCGGAACCUAAUUAAAACCGAGCAGAUACAGAUUAAAUUUAUUAAUCUGAAUUUAUUAUUUUUAAUAAACAAUACAUUUAUUUAU